rnacentral:miRNA from 1 species
UUCACAUGAUGUCUUGCUGAUG